rnacentral:rRNA from 1 species
AGAGUUUGAUCCUGGCUCAGAUUGAACGCUGGCGGCAUGCUUUACACAUGCAAGUCGAACGGUAACAGGUCUUCGGAUGCUGACGAGUGGCGAACGGGUGAGUAAUACAUCGGAACGUGCCUAGUAGUGGGGGAUAACUACUCGAAAGAGUAGCUAAUACCGCAUGAGAUCUACGGAUGAAAGCAGGGGACCUUCGGGCCUUGUGCUACUAGAGCGGCUGAUGGCAGAUUAGGUAGUUGGUGGGGUAAAGGCUUACCAAGCCUGCGAUCUGUAGCUGGUCUGAGAGGACGACCAGCCACACUGGGACUGAGACACGGCCCAGACUCCUACGGGAGGCAGCAGUGGGGAAUUUUGGACAAUGGGCGAAAGCCUGAUCCAGCAAUGCCGCGUGCAGGAUGAAGGCCCUCGGGUUGUAAACUGCUUUUGUACGGAACGAAAAGCCUGGGGCUAAUAUCCCCGGGUCAUGACGGUACCGUAAGAAUAAGCACCGGCCAACUACGUGCCAGCAGCCGCGGUAAUACGUAGGGUGCAAGCGUUAAUCGGAAUUACUGGGCGUAAAGCGUGCGCAGGCGGUUUUGUAAGACAGUGGUGAAAUCCCCGGGCUCAACCUGGGAACUGCCAUUGUGACUGCAAGGCUAGAGUGCGGCAGAGGGGGAUGGAAUUCCGCGUGUAGCAGUGAAAUGCGUAGAUAUGCGGAGGAACACCGAUGGCGAAGGCAAUCCCCUGGGCCUGCACUGACGCUCAUGCACGAAAGCGUGGGGAGCAAACAGGAUUAGAUACCCUGGUAGUCCACGCCCUAAACGAUGUCAACUGGGUUGUUGGGUCUUAACUGACUCAGUAACGAAGCUAACGCGUGAAGUUGACCGCCUGGGGAGUACGGCCGCAAGGUUGAACUCAAGGAUUGACGG